rnacentral:rRNA from 1 species
AGAGUUUGAUCCUGGCUCAGAUUGAACGCUGGCGGCAUGCCUUACACAUGCAAGUCGAACGGUAACGGGCCUUCGGGUGCCGACGAGUGGCGAACGGGUGAGUAAUGCAUCGGAACGUACCUUUCAGUGGGGGAUAACGUAGCGAAAGUUACGCUAAUACCGCAUAUUCUGUGAGCAGGAAAGCAGGGGAUCGCAAGACCUUGCGCUGAUUGAGCGGCCGAUGUCAGAUUAGCUAGUUGGUGAGGUAAAGGCUCACCAAGGCGACGAUCUGUAGCGGGUCUGAGAGGAUGAUCCGCCACACUGGAACUGAGACACGGUCCAGACUCCUACGGGAGGCAGCAGUGGGGAAUUUUGGACAAUGGGGGCAACCCUGAUCCAGCCAUUCCGCGUGAGUGAAGAAGGCCUUCGGGUUGUAAAGCUCUUUCAGCAGGAACGAGACGGUGGCCACUAAUACUGGCUACUAAUGACGGUACCUGAAGAAGAAGCACCGGCUAACUACGUG